UACAGAGGUCUCAAGCAUUGUUCGGAUUCAUUGGGCGUAAAGGGUGUGUAGGUGGCGCGCUAAGUCGGGUGUGAAAUUUCGGAGCUUAACUCCGAAACUGCAUUCGAUACUGGCGUGCUUGAGGACUGGAGAGGAGACUGGAAUUCAUGGUGUAGCAGUGAAAUGCGUAGAGAUCAUGAGGAAGACCAGUGGCGAAGGCGGGUCUCUGGACAGUUCCUGACACUGAGGCACGAAGGCCAGGGGAGCAAACGGG
rnacentral:rRNA from 1 species